UUAAAGAAAUUAAAUUGAAGCUUCUAACUUCUGUCAACAAAAUUUCUAAAAG
rnacentral:tRNA from 1 species